rnacentral:rRNA from 1 species
AGAGUUUGAUCCUGGCUCAGAUUGAACGCUGGCGGCAUGCCUUACACAUGCAAGUCGAACGCGAAAGGGGGGGCAACCCCCCGAGUAGAGUGGCGAACGGGUGAGUAAUACAUCGGAACGUGUCCAGUAGCGGGGGAUAACCUCUCGAAAGAGAGGCUAAUACCGCAUACGACCUACGGGUGAAAGAGGGGGAUCGCAAGACCUCUCACUAUUGGAGCGGCCGAUGUCGGAUUAGCUAGUUGGCGGGGUAAAAGCCCACCAAGGCGACGAUCCGUAGCUGGUCUGAGAGGACGGCCAGCCACACUGGAACUGAGACACGGUCCAGACUCCUACGGGAGGCAGCAGUGGGGAAUUUUGGACAAUGGGCGCAAGCCUGAUCCAGCCAUGCCGCGUGAGUGAAGAAGGCCUUCGGGUUGUAAAGCUCUUUCGGCUGGGGCGAAAAGGUCCGCGCUAACACCGCGGAUCCAUGACGGUACCAGCAGAAGAAGCACCGGCUAACUACGUGCCAGCAGCCGCGGUAAUACGUAGGGUGCAGGCGUUAAUCGGAAUUACUGGGCGUAAAGCGUGCGCAGGCGGUUUGCUAAGACAGGUGUGAAAUCCCCGGGCUUAACCUGGGAACUGCGCUUGUUACUGGCAAGCUGGAGUGUGGCAGAGGGGGGUGGAAUUCCACGUGUAGCAGUGAAAUGCGUAGAGAUGUGGAGGAACACCGAUGGCGAAGGCAGCCCCCUGGGCUAACACUGACGCUCAUGCACGAAAGCGUGGGGAGCAAACAGGAUUAGAUACCCCAGUAGUCC